rnacentral:rRNA from 1 species
AGUGAACGCUGGCGGUAGGCCUAACACAUGCAAGUCGAACGGCAGCACAGUAAUAGCUUGCUCUUACGGGUGGCGAGUGGCGGACGGUGGAUGAAUACAUCGGAAGCUGUUUUUGCGUGGGGGAUAACGUAGGGAAAAUUACGCUAAUACCGCAUACGACCUACGGGUGAAAGCAUGGGAUCUUCCGACCUUGCGCGAGUGAAUGAGCCGAUGUCGGAUUAGCUAGUUGGCGGGGUAAAGGCCCACCAAGGCGACGAUCCGUAGCUGGUCUGAGAGGAGGAUCAGCCACACUGGAACUGAGACACGGUCCAGACUCCUACGGGAGGCAGCAGUGGGGAAUAUUGGACAAUGGGCGAAAGCCUGAUCCAGCCAUACCGCGUGGGUGAAGAAGGCCUUCGGGUUGUAAAGCCCUUUUGUUGGGAAAGAAAAGCAGCAGGUUAAUACCCCGCUGUUCUGACGUUACCAACAGAAUAAGCACCGGCUAACUUCGUG